rnacentral:lncRNA from 1 species
UUCUACUUCCUAACCCUAGUUGACAAUAGGAAUUCCGCCAUUUUCCAUGGGCGUAUGACCCCCAAAACCUCAAAUUGUGAACAUCUAACUACUGUCACACCUCUACUCCAAAAUCUACCAUUAUUUCCUCCCUCAAACCACUCAUCUUCUUUGAAGCAGAGACUAAACUUGGCAUUAGAUUUCUCUUCGUUUUCUUAUGUUGAACUUCACCCGACCCGACUUUUCUCGACACUAAACACGCGUGAGUCAACCAGCUCUGAGCGGAGGCUGAAUAGAUGAAAGUUCGCUCGUGUAUGAGGAGUGAGAGUUUGGUCAUAAAUCCAUGAUAGCUCUUUGGUUUUGGUCUGGUAAGUCUUAUUCUCGUCCAUGACUCUUCUUUAUUCAUUUAGACUCCCGGAAGUCGAGUUUGUUUUGUCACUAAACUCGUUAUCUUUUCUUCUUCUUUGUGAAACGCUUGGCUUUCGAUUUCUUUAGUUUGUCCCUCGAUCCUGUUUUGCUUGAUUCCUCAGUAUUAUCGGAAUAACUAUUAUUUUUUGUUUUAUUAUCAGUGUAAUCGCCUAGCCAGUAAAAAUAGAUUCAUAUUUGAGUUAAUUUGUUCUUUUGAAAUCAUACUGGUUAGCUCAUUGAUUCUGCCUCUUGUUUUAAACAAUGGUUCCAGGUUGUUUUGUUUGGAAAAUUUUGGUUUAGCUCUAAUUUGGGCCCAUUGGUGUUGUAAUUGGUUUGCAAAUAGCAGUAUGCCCAAAUAGGGACUCAAGUUAGGGUCUAGGGACCCAAUAGCCUGGUCAAAUUUGACCGAAGAGAGUCUUCAAGGUAAAUAACAAUAGCUAUAAGGGUGUUUUGGGUAGUUCAAGUGGAGGAAUCUUUUUACAACUGAAAAAAGAAGCUUCUAGCAGGGAUUUCUAGCCAAUUUCAGACUUUUAAGUGGUUAAGCUUGAGAAACAAGUCAGUAAAUAGGGGACUAUCUGGUUAAAACUGAAUAAAUAAAG